rnacentral:siRNA from 1 species
GACAAGUGAUUUAGCCGUUU